CCGGGCGGAAACCAACUAAA
rnacentral:snRNA from 1 species